UACGGAGGGUGCAAACGUUGCUCGGAAUCAUUGGGCGUAAAGCGCACGUAGGCGGACCAUCAAGUCGGAUGUGAAAUCCCUCGGCUUAACCGAGGACGUGCAUUCGAAACUGAUGGUCUUGAGUACGAAAGAGGAUCGCGGAAUUCCCGGUGUAGAGGUGAAAUUCGUAGAUAUCGGGAGGAACACCAGUGGCGAAGGCGGCGAUCUGGGUCGAUACUGACGCUGAGGUGCGAAAGCGUGGGGAGCAAACAGG
rnacentral:rRNA from 1 species